AUGGCUAAAGGUGACCCCAAGAAGCCAAGGGUCAAGAUGUUUGCUUAUGCCUUCUUCAUGCAGACACGCAGGGAAGAACACAAGAAGAAAAACCCAGAGGUUGCAGUCAAUUUUGCGGAGUUUUCCAAGAAGUGCUCUGAGAGGUGAAAGACCGUGUCUAGCAAAGAGAAAUCAAAAGUUUGAUGAAAUGGCAAAGGCAAAUAAAGUAAGCUAUGAUUGGCAAGAAGAAGGACCCAAAUGCCUCAAAGGACCUCCAUCUGGAUUUUUCUUAUUCUGCUCUGAAUUCCUACCCAAGAUCAAAUCCACAAACCCUGGCAUCUCCAUUGGAGAUGUGGUAAAAAAAAAAAAAAUCUGGGUGAGAUAUGGAAGAACUUCAGUUACAGUGAAAAGCAGCCUACGUCACCAAGGCAGCAAAGCUGAAGGAGAAGGAUGAGAAGGAUGUCGCUGACUGUAAGUCUAAAGGGAAGUUUGAGGGGGCCAAGGUGCUAAAAUUGCCUGGAAAAAGGUGGAAGAAGAGGAGGAGGAGGAGGAAGAGGAAGAAGAGGAAGAAGAAGAGGAGGAAGAUGAAUAAAAACUCUGUCUUCAUGUGAAUACCUUAGAGUAGGAGAGCGCUGUGAUUGACACAUCUCUUAUUUGAGUCGUGUCUAUUGCCCUUGUUAGGUUUAAUUACAAAAUUUGAUCAGGAUCAUAUUGUAGUUUCUCAAAGUGUCAGUGAUUUACAUGAAGUGGCUGUGGUGUCCAGAGUGCCCUGAAGCUGUAUCAAAGUUGUACAUAGCUCCAAACAUUUUUAAAAUGAAAAGGCACUCUCGGGUCCUCCUCACUCAGUGCACUUUGCUGUUGGUGUGACAAGGCAUUUGAAGACGUUUCUGGAUUUUGUUCUCAGCUCGUAAGGUAGUGUUAACUAUAUGGCUAUCGGCCAGAAAUCCUGAGCUGUCAACUGUACAUAUCUAUAGCUUGUAAAGAGAACACAACAACCCAGCCAGAUUCUUGAGGCUCCUUGUUUGGCGUGGAGGCUGUGAGGGGAAGAUGCCUUUUGGAGGGGGCAUAGCCCAGGGCGUGCACUGUGAGGCUGGACCUGUUGAUACUGCGGUGAGCAUCUUUUGGCUCCAGGUUGUCUUGUUGUCAGCAUUUUGCU